rnacentral:rRNA from 1 species
AGCAGCCGCGGUAAUACGGGAGGGUGCGAGCGUUAAUCGGAAUUACUGGGCGUAAAAGCGCAUGCAGGUGGUUUGUUAAGUCAGAUGUGAAAGACCCGGGGCUCAACCUCGGAAUUGCAUUUGAAAACUGGCAAACUAGAGUACUGUAGAGGGGGUAGGAAUUUCUAGGUGUAGCGGUGAAAUAGCGUAGAGAUCUGAAGGAAUACCGGUGGCGAAGGCGGCCCCCUCGGACCAGAUACUGACACUCAGAUGCGAAAGCGUGGGGAGGCAAACAGGAUUAGAUACCCUCGGUAG